rnacentral:lncRNA from 1 species
AUUUUACUUUCUAUGUGUUUUAACUUUUUAAUUUGACUUUCUGUCUUACAAGACUGGUGCCUCAUGCAACAUAUUCUGCUUAUUUAAUUUUAUGAGCAUCUUGAUUUUCAAAUGCUUAUUUUGCAUGCUCAGUAUUGUUCAAAUAAAAUUCAAACGCUUAAAUUGGCAGGGAUCGUCAAGAAAUACUUUUUUAAAAGCUAUAAACCAAAUUGAAUUAUAUCAUAAAUGUGUAUUAUACUUAAUCGGGAAUAUCAAACGUAAAGUUAAUACAAGUGGGUCUCAUUGGGGUCUAAGCGUGACGCGGGAUUGCCGAUUUUUUGUAAGCGUGACACGUGAAAGUCAAAUUAUUGUGGCGUGAAAACAGGAAAUUAGGUCUUGCGGGACCCGGGAAAUGACAAAAAAAUGAGAAUUGCUUAUGUACAUAGUGUAAGCGGGAUACGGGAAUCUGACAAAACAGUAAGCGGGAUCCGGGAUCGGAACCCCCCAAUGAGACCCCCAUA